CCUACGGGAGGCAGCAGUCGAGAAUCAUUCACAAUGGGGGAAACCCUGAUGGUGCGACGCCGCGUGGGGGAAUGAAGGUCUUCGGAUUGUAAACCCCUGUCAUGUGGGAGCAAAUUAAAAAGAUAGUACCACAAGAGGAAGAGACGGCUAACUCUGUGCCAGCAGCCGCGGUAAUACAGAGGUCUCAAGCGUUGUUCGGAAUCACUGGGCGUAAGGCGUGCGUAGGCUGUGUCGUAAGUCGUGUGUGAAAGGCGCGGGCUCAACCCGCGGACGGCACAUGAUACUGCGAGACUAGAGUAAUGGAGGGGGAACCGGAAUUCUCGGUGUAGCAGUGAAAUGCGUAGAUAUCGAGAGGAACACUCGUGGCGAAGGCGGGUUCCUGGACAUUAACUGACGCUGAGGCACGAAGGCCAGGGGAGCGAAAGGGAUUAGAUACCCUGGUAGUC
rnacentral:rRNA from 1 species